GCGGGUGUGGCGGAAUGGUAGACGCCGGGGACUUAAAAUCCCCUGAUCUUGCGAUCGUGUGGGUUCGAGUCCCACCACCCGCACCA
rnacentral:tRNA from 2 species